rnacentral:rRNA from 1 species
UCAUGCCAAUGGCACUGCCCGGUAGCUAAAUGCGGAAGAGAUAAGUGCUGAAAGCAUCUAAGCACGAAACUUGCCCCGAGAUGAGUUCUCCCUGAGACUUUAAGUCUCCUGAAGGAACGUUGAAGACGACGACGUUGAUAGGCCGGGUGUGUAAGCGCAGCGAUGCGUUGAGCUAACCGGUACUAAUGAACCGUGAGGCUUAACCUUACAACGCCGAAG